rnacentral:rRNA from 1 species
ACGGGUGAGUAACACGUGAGUAACCUGCCCUUGACUCUGGGAUAAGCGUUGGAAACGACGUCUAAUACCGGAUACGAGCUCCGAUCGCAUGAUCAGGAGCUGGAAAGAAUUUCGGUCAAGGAUGGACUCGCGGCCUAUCAGCUAGUUGGUGAGGUAAUGGCCCACCAAGGCGACGACGGGUAGCCGGCCUGAGAGGGUGACCGGCCACACUGGGACUGAGACACGGCCCAGACUCCUACGGGAGGCAGCAGUGGGGAAUAUUGCACAAUGGGCGCAAGCCUGAUGCAGCAACGCCGCGUGAGGGACGACGGCCUUCGGGUUGUAAACCUCUUUUAGUAGGGAAGAAGCGAAAGUGACGGUACCUGCAGAAAAAGCACCGGCUAACUACGUGCCAGCAGCCGCGGUAAUACGUAGGGUGCAAGCGUUAUCCGGAAUUAUUGGGCGUAAAGAGCUCGUAGGCGGUUUGUCGCGUCUGCUGUGAAAACUGGAGGCUCAACCUCCAGCCUGCAGUGGGUACGGGCAGACUAGAGUGCGGUAGGGGAGAUUGGAAUUCCUGGUGUAGCGGUGGAAUGCGCAGA